CCUGGCUCAGGAUGAACGCUAGCGACAGGCUUAACACAUGCAAGUCGAGGGGCAGCAUGAUUUGUAGCAAUACAGAUUGAUGGCGACCGGCGCACGGGUGAGUAACGCGUAUGCAACUUACCUAUCAGAGGGGGAUAGCCCGGCGAAAGUCGGAUUAAUACCCCAUAAAACAGGGGUCCCGCAUGGGAAUAUUUGUUAAAGAUUCAUCGCUGAUAGAUAGGCAUGCGUUCCAUUAGGCAGUUGGCGGGGUAACGGCCCACCAAACCGACGAUGGAUAGGGGUUCUGAGAGGAAGGUCCCCCACAUUGGUACUGAGACACGGACCAAACUCCUACGGGAGGCAGCAGUGAGGAAUAUUGGUCAAUGGCCGAGAGGCUGAACCAGCCAAGUCGCGUGAAGGAAGAAGGAUCUAUGGUUUGUAAACUUCUUUUAUAGGGGAAUAAAGUGGAGGACGCGUCCUUUUUUGUAUGUACCCUAUGAAUAAGCAUCGGCUAACUCCGUGCCAGCAGCCGCGGUAAUACGGAGGAUGCGAGCGUUAUCCGGAUUUAUUGGGUUUAAAGGGUGCGUAGGUGGUGAUUUAAGUCAGCGGUGAAAGUUUGUGGCUCAACCAUAAAAUUGCCGUUGAAACUGGGUUACUUGAGUGUGUUUGAGGUAGGCGGAAUGCGUGGUGUAGCGGUGAAAUGCAUAGAUAUCACGCAGAACUCCGAUUGCGAAGGCAGCUUACUAAACCAUAACUGACACUGAAGCACGAAAGCGUGGGGAUCAAACAGGAUUAGAUACCCUGGUAGUCCACGCAGUAAACGAUGAUUACUAGGAGUUUGCGAUACAGUGUAAGCUCUACAGCGAAAGCGUUAAGUAAUCCACCUGGGGAGUACGCCGGCAACGGUGAAACUCAAAGGAAUUGACGGGGGCCCGCACAAGCGGAGGAACAUGUGGUUUAAUUCGAUGAUACGCGAGGAACCUUACCCGGGUUUGAACGUAGUCUGACCGGAGUGGAAACACUCUUUCUAGCAAUAGCAGAUUACGAGGUGCUGCAUGGUUGUCGUCAGCUCGUGCCGUGAGGUGUCGGCUUAAGUGCCAUAACGAGCGCAACCCUUAUCACUAGUUACUAACAGGUGAAGCUGAGGACUCUGGUGAGACUGCCAGCGUAAGCUGUGAGGAAGGUGGGGAUGACGUCAAAUCAGCACGGCCCUUACAUCCGGGGCGACACACGUGUUACAAUGGCAUGGACAAAGGGCAGCUACCUGGUGACAGGAUGCUAAUCUCCAAACCAUGUCUCAGUUCGGAUCGGAGUCUGCAACUCGACUCCGUGAAGCUGGAUUCGCUAGUAAUCGCGCAUCAGCCAUGGCGCGGUGAAUACGUUCCCGGGCCUUGCACACACCGCC
rnacentral:rRNA from 1 species